GACGAACGCUGGCGGCGUGCUUAACACAUGCAAGUCGAACGGAAAGGCCCUGCUUUUGUGGGGUGCUCGAGUGGCGAACGGGUGAGUAACACGUGAGUAACCUGCCCUUGACUUUGGGAUAACUUCAGGAAACUGGGGCUAAUACCGGAUAGGAGCUCCUGCUGCAUGGUGGGGGUUGGAAAGUUUCGGCGGUUGGGGAUGGACUCGCGGCUUAUCAGCUUGUUGGUGGGGUAGUGGCUUACCAAGGCUUUGACGGGUAGCCGGCCUGAGAGGGUUACCGGCCACAUGGGGACUGAGAUACGGCCCAGACUCCUACGGGAGGCAGCAGUGGGGAAUAUUGCACAAUGGGCGGAAGCCUGAUGCAGCGACGCCGCGUGCGGGAUGACGGCCUUCGGGUUGUAAACCGCUUUCGCCUGUGACGAAGCGUGAGUGACGGUAAUGGGUAAAGAAGCACCGGCUAACUACGUG
rnacentral:rRNA from 1 species